rnacentral:rRNA from 1 species
AUGGCGGCGCGCGGCCUGAAGGGCAAAGCUGCGGCGCAGGAGCACGGAGGGCUGAAGAUCAUGCUCGUCAGCUCCGACAAACAGCGCUUCUGCCUGCCGGAGCCCGCGGCGAGGGUGUCAAAGGUCAUCAGUAAAAGUAUCUGCGGCUACCUCACCGACGCCGACAUCACGCUCGAGUUUCCCGCCGAGGCGGUCAACAUGGUCGUGGAGUACUGCAAGCGGAAGGCAGCGGACGGUGUCGAAAUGACGCACGGGUGGGAAAGAGAGUACCUCCGCGACCUCGGCCAGGCGCAGCUGUACGAAGUGCUCCACGCCGCCGGCAACCCCGAGAUCGAGGAGCUCGUGGACCUGGCCUGCAAGCGCGUCGCCAACAUGAUCAGCGGCAAGGCGCCGGCGGAGAUCCGCAGGAUCUUCGGCAUCGACAACGACGAGUUCACGUCGGAGCAGCGCGAAGAGAUCCGCAGGGACAACUCGUGGAUCGAUAUGACGGCUGAAGAACAGGCCGAACUCGAGCUCGUAUUCUUCUUCGCCGUUAUUACAUCUUUUUGA